rnacentral:rRNA from 1 species
UGCGGGGGGGGGCAAGCGUUGUUCGGAAUUACUGGGCGUAAAGGGCGCGUAGGCGGUUCGCUAAGUUGGAUGUGAAAACUCUGGGCUCAACCCAGAGCCUGCAUCCAAAACUGGCGGGCUAGAGUUCUGGAGGGGGUAGCGGAAUUCCUGGUGUAGCGGUGAAAUGCGUAGAUAUCAGGAGGAACACCGGUGGCGAAGGCGGCUACCUGGACAGAAACUGACGCUGAGGCGCGAAAGCUAGGGGAGCAAACAGG